UACGUAGGGCGCAAGCGUUAUCCGGAAUUAUUGGGCGUAAAGAGCUCGUAGGCGGUUUGUCGCGUCUGCCGUGAAAGUCCGGGGCUCAACUCCGGAUCUGCGGUGGGUACGGGCAGACUAGAGUGCGGUAGGGGAGACUGGAAUUCCUGGUGUAGCGGUGGAAUGCGCAGAUAUCAGGAGGAACACCGGUGGCGAAGGCGGGUCUCUGGGCCGUUACUGACGCUGAGGAGCGAAAGCAUGGGGAGCGAACAGG
rnacentral:rRNA from 1 species